UCAUAUCAUAUGCAUACUUGAGGAUAUGAUUUGUUCAAUGCAGUGUUAAGCAACUAACCUCUAAAAUGGUUUUGAAAGAAAUAGCUAGUGUUCUCAAGCUGAAAGUCAAACUCAAACUAACUAAGGUUUGACUGAGUGAUAAUAAGCAGAUGUUUGGUACUUUACAUUGUAAUUUGGCUUGACGGUUAGUUGGAUUAUACAUAUACUCAACUCUGAAUUUAUUUUCAAAGUAAGAAUAAGGAAUCACUUUUGAAACAUAAGCAAAUUAAGGAGAAUUAGUAAAAGUGAAUGAUUUUAGAGCUUAUGAAUGAAUAUUAAUAAUAAUAUAAUGUUGUUGUUUAAUACUAAUAAUAAUAUGAGUUUAGAGUUAGAGUGGGAGUCUCCAACAUCAUCACCUCCUACACCUCCCUCUCCACUCCCCAUUAGUUAUGGAGCUGGAAAUAGUAGAUACUCUUUCUCAUCUUCUUCAACUUCAUCUUCACCUUUCUCCACUCCAACUUCUGCUGAAAAUCUCCCCCUUCUGCAUCUACACAAGACAUUUAAUUCAGCAGUAUUUUCAGUUGAUCGCAAAGAUCCUUCAGAAUAUGAAUCCAAGAGUACAUGCCUCAAAGACUUGUUGGAAUGGUUUAUACAAAGAUGUUGCUGUUGCUGUAACAAAUUUCCUUUCAUCUUCCUAACACCACAAAAGAGGUCCAAUAUUCAAAGCAAUGGUCAAGAUUUUGCUGCUAUUCAUUUCAACUCGAAAACAUUCUAAACAAACAACAUCUAACAAAAUAAUGUCAAUACAUGUAUACUUUGUUAUUAAUGCUAAGAGAAUAUUUUGCUGAUCCUAAUUUGUUCUAUUUUUAAUAAGAGAAACUUGUUAUUCCCUCCGUCUCA